rnacentral:rRNA from 1 species
ACAUACGACCAUACCCACUGGAGAACUCGGCAUCCCGUCCACUAUCCCAUCGAUAAGUCAGUGAGGACUAGACUAGUAACGGGGUAGGUGGCGACCAGCUAAUUCCUGGUGUUGUAUUUU